GAUGAACGCUGGCGGCGUGCCUAAUACAUGCAAGUCGAACGCUGGAGAUCUAGCUUGCUAGAUCGAAGGAGUGGCGAACGGGUGAGUAAUACAUAAGCAACCUACCCACGAAGACUGGGAUAAUCUCUGGAAACGGGGACUAAUACCGGAUAGGUAAUCGGAAGGCAUCUUCUGGUUAUUAAAGGUUAAAAACACUGGUGGAUGGGCUUAUGGCGCAUUAGUUAGUUGGUGAGGUAACGGCCCACCAAGACGAUGAUGCGUAGCCGGCCUGAGAGGGUGAACGGCCACAUUGGGACUGAGACACGGCCCAGACUGCUACGGGAGGCAGCAGUAGGGAAGUUUCGGCAAUGGAGGCAACCCUGACCGAGCAACGCCGCGUGAGUGAAGACGGCCUUCGGGUUGUAAAGCUCUGUUGUAAGGGAAGAACGGUAGAUAGAGAAUAUCUAAGUGACGGUACCUUACCAGAAAGCCACGGCUAACUACGUG
rnacentral:rRNA from 1 species